rnacentral:misc_RNA from 1 species
AGCAGCCGCGGUAAUUCCAGCUCCAAUAGCGUAUAUUAAAGUUGUUGCAGUUAAAAGCUCGUAGUUGGAUUUCGGGAUCAAAGGAUCGGUCAUGCCUUGGUAUGUACUGGUUUUAUUGGUUCUCACCUUCUAAAGAACCAUAAUGUCAUUCAUUUGAUGUUAUGGGGAAUUAGGACUGUUACCUUGAAAAAUCAGAGUGUUUAAAGCAGGCUCACGCUUGAAUACAUUAGCAUGGAAUAAUGAAAUAGGACGUUUGAUUCUAUUUUGUUGGUUUCUAGGAUCGACGUAAUGAUUAAUAGGGAUAGGUUGG